rnacentral:rRNA from 1 species
UACGGGGGGAGCAAGCGUUGCUCGGAAUCACUGGGCGUAAAGCGCACGUAGGCGGCUUUUUAAGUCAGGGGUGAAAUCCUGGAGCUCAACUCCAGAACUGCCUUUGAUACUGAGGAGCUUGAGUCCGGGAGAGGUGAGUGGAACUGCGAGUGUAGAGGUGAAAUUCGUAGAUAUUCGCAAGAACACCAGUGGCGAAGGCGGCUCACUGGCCCGGUACUGACGCUGAGGUGCGAAAGCGUGGGGAGCAAACAGG